rnacentral:rRNA from 1 species
ACGCUGGCGGCAGGCCUAACACAUGCAAGUCGAGCGGUAGAGAGAAGCUUGCUUCUCUUGAGAGCGGCGGACGGGUGAGUAAUGCCUAGGAAUCUGCCUGGUAGUGGGGGAUAACGUUCGGAAACGGACGCUAAUACCGCAUACGUCCUACGGGAGAAAGCAGGGGACCUUCGGGCCUUGCGCUAUCAGAUGAGCCUAGGUCGGAUUAGCUAGUUGGUGGGGUAAUGGCUCACCAAGGCGACGAUCCGUAACUGGUCUGAGAGGAUGAUCAGUCACACUGGAACUGAGACACGGUCCAGACUCCUACGGGAGGCAGCAGUGGGGAAUAUUGGACAAUGGGCGAAAGCCUGAUCCAGCCAUGCCGCGUGUGUGAAGAAGGUCUUCGGAUUGUAAAGCACUUUAAGUUGGGAGGAAGGGUUGUAGAUUAAUACUCUGCAAUUUUGACGUUACCGACAGAAUAAGCACCGGGCUAACUCUGUGCCAGCAGCCGCGGUAAUACAGAGGGUGCAAGCGUUAAUCGGAAUUACUGGGCGUAAAGCGCGCGUAGGUGGUUAGUUAAGUUGGAUGUGAAAUCCCCGGGCUCAACCUGGGAACUGCAUUCAAAACUGACCCGACUAGAGUAUGGUAGAGGGUGGUGGAAUUUCCUGUGUAGCGGUGAAAUGCGUAGAUAUAGGAAGG